CGGCGCAGGGGAUAGGAGGUGGGGGGAGUCGAGAGCUGGAGUCAGGCGCAGCUCACGCUAGGAUGACGGAGUGUUAACCUCAGACUCUGGGUCCCUUUGGGCCGACGCUUUAAGAAAACAGGGGCAGCGAGCCCGGCGUCCCAAGGAGCCUUGCCAAGCUGGGCAUGGAGAACGGGCCUCCUGGAUGGCCACCCGCCCAGCUGCCAAAGAGGCCGGAGAGCUGGAGCCGGGACUUGGAGGAUCUUCUUCAGAGAGGCAGGAGGGCGGUCCGAACGUGCCCCCACCCCUGACCUCAAGCCCAUGUGGAGAGGGCCAACAGAGCCUCUUGGAGAGCUGGAUUUGCGUCCUCUGCAGCUUGGGGGACACGUCGUUGAUGGUGACUGACACGCCCCAGAGAUAGUGACAUGAUGAUUAAGAGUGACAGCCUGAGGGAGCUGAGCGCAGCAUGGCUGGUCUGGCAGCUGCUGUCGGUGUCGCGACCCCACCCCACUUCCCCGGCUCCCUGCCUCCUUCGCUGGAGAAGCAUCCUCAGCCAAUGGAGCCACAAUACCUGAGAUGGCGUCUCCCUACUGAACUCCUGGGCUCAAGUGAUUCUCCUGCCUUGCCCUCCCAAAAUGCUGGGAUUAUGGGCAUAACCCACCGUGCCUGGCCCCUGAGUGCAUCUUCUCUGAGAAAUGGAGCAUCUUUGCUGGAGCUGGGUAAGGUCAUCAUGGAUCUAUAGGAUGCAGCUGUGUACAUUCAUGGCCUUACCCCAGGGCUACGUCAAUUUUCCUGUUCUCUAUCACAACAUAGUCUGAAGGGAUCCAGCCCAUCGGGGCAGCCUCCAGGCCACCACAUUGGUCAGUGCCAGGAGCAACAUCGUGUUAACCAGACCUACAGAGCAAGAAGCAGCAGGUCCCUUGGAAGCUUUCGUAGAAUAUGUGGGGGAGGAGGAUGGGGGGUUAAUGGGAAGGCUCAGGGGCUGCCAUGCUGUAGGUGUUUGACGGGGCCAGUAGUCUGGCCAUGUCGGGCUAUCUCCUGCAAAGUAAAGGGUGGUUACUGCACCUGUCCUUCCUACCACGUGGAAGGAGGCACGACUUCUGGCGGGACUCUCUGAAUUUGGGGGUGGCAUACUCAGCACUUGGGAAUCCAGUUUUGGCCCAUUUCUUGAGUGACACAGAAGGCUGCUAGUUUGGAGAUGCAGUUCUAUGAGCAACUGUGCUUGGGACAUGUGACUCUGCAGACCCUGUGCUACACGGGGUGUCUGUAGUGGAGAGGGUCACCACACGGUGUCCCUGGCAGGCCCCAAUAGGAAAGCCACAGUGCAGACCCCGAGGGUGCUGGAACAACGCCACGCCAUCUGCAGCAGAGAAGGGCUCCGGAUGUGUCCCCAAGCCCUGGGAGAAACUGAGCAUCUGACCAGGGGACAUCAAGUGAUCAAAUGGACACAGCUUUUCACCAUGAGCUGACGAGUCACCAAAUCACAAGGCCAGGCAUCCGUCAUGAGGCACAAGUGGCACAUCAGGGAUUGGGCUCCCAAAGGUCCCCAAGGCAGGAGCUACGUGGUCCAGACCCCCUGCCUCUGGCCAUGCGGCACCAAGGCCUCCCCUCAGCUCACAUCCUGGGGGGUUUUCCUGUGACCAGCGGAGAUAGGCUGCAGUCUCACCCCAGCGGAUGUGUUCCUGCGAGCUGAACGCGUGUGGCUGCUGCACCACAGCCCUCCCAGGGAGGUCCUCAAAGACAGCGGCAGGCACCUGGUGUGUGCAGUUGUGCGAAGAGAGAAGUGGCUUGAGGAAAGAAUGUACAUGGGCUUGUGGACAGUGGACAGUGGCUUAGCUGGUGGGUCAGGGAUCUAGAAGGAGCAAGACUGGAAGUUUAGGCCGGGCUUGGUGGCUGACGCCUGUCAUCCCAGCACUUUGGGAGGCCAAGGUGGGCGGAUCACUGAGGUCAGGAGUUCAAGACCAGCAUGGCCAACGUGGUGAAACUCUGUCUUUACUAAAAAUACAAAAAUUAGCCGGGCGUGGUGACGCAUGCCUGUAAU
rnacentral:lncRNA from 1 species